GGAAAAGAAACCAACAGGGAUUGUCUUAGUAACGGCGAGUGAAGCGACAAAAGCUCAAAUUUGAAAUCUGGCACCUUCGGUGUCCGAGUUGUAAUUUGAAGAAGGUAACUUUGGAGUUGGCUCUUGUCUAUGUUCCUUGGAACAGGACGUCACAGAGGGUGAGAAUCCCGUGCGAUGAGAUGUCCAACUCUAUGUAAAGUGCUUUCGAAGAGUCGAGUUGUUUGGGAAUGCAGCUCUAAGUGGGUGGUAAAUUCCAUCUAAAGCUAAAUAUUGGCGAGAGACCGAUAGCGAACAAGUACAGUGAUGGAAAGAUGAAAAGAACUUUGAAAAGAGAGUGAAAAAGUACGUGAAAUUGUUGAAAGGGAAGGGUUUGAGAUCAGACUUGGUAUUUUGUAUGUCUUGCUUUCGGGUGGGGCCUCUGCAGUUUACUGGGCCAGCAUCGGUUUGGACGGUAGGAUAAUGACAUUGGAAUGUGGCACUACUUCGGUGGUGUGUUAUAGACU
rnacentral:rRNA from 1 species